rnacentral:rRNA from 1 species
UACGUAGGGGGCAAGCGUUGUCCGGAUUUAUUGGGCGUAAAGAGCUCGUAGGUGGUUCGGUAAGUCGGAUGUGAAAUCUCCAGGCUCAACCUGGAGGGGUCAUUCGAUACUGCCGUGACUAGAGGUCGGUAGGGGAGUGUGGAAUUCCUGGUGGAGCGGUGAAAUGCGCAGAUAUCAGGAGGAACACCCGUAGCGAAGGCGGCACUCUGGGCCGAUACUGACGCUGAGGAGCGAAAGCAUGGGGAGCGAACAGG